rnacentral:rRNA from 1 species
UACGGAGGGUGCGAACGUUAAUCGGAAUCACUGGGCGUAAAGCGCGCGUAGGCGGUCUGUUAAGUGGGAUGUGAAAUCCCCGGGCUUAACCUGGGAAUUGCAUUUCAAACUGGCCGACUAGAGUACGGUAGAGGGAGGUAGAAUUUCCUGUGUAGCGGUGAAAUGCGUAGAUAUAGGAAGGAAUACCAGUGGCGAAGGCGGCCUCCUGGAUCGACACUGACACUGAGAGACGAAAGCUAGGGGAGCGAAUGGG